AUGGCCCCCGCUGAGAGAUCCUGCACGCUCGGCCGCUUCGCCGCGCACGAGGCGGCCCCGCCGGAGACCCUCCACAUCGUGCGCCUGCAGCGGCUCCGCCUCCGCCAAGCAGCAGAGAGCUGCCUCGACCCUAUCGCCGAGGAGGAGGGCAAGACGAGCUCGCCCAGAGCCCACGGCGGCAGCAGCAGCAACGCCACCGUCGACCUUGCGCAAAGUCUUAGCUGA
rnacentral:rRNA from 1 species